CCUCAGCCUACAUCCUUCCAUUGUUUUAUUAGCUACCUUCAAUAAAUGAUUGUCAGAAUUAUUUCCUCUUCAUUUGCAGGAAUAAUCUGAGACUGAAAGAGGAGAACCAAGAAAAAAUAAAAUAAGAAAGAAAGAGAGAGAGAGAGAGAGAGAGAGAGAGAGAGAAAGAAGGAAAGAAAGAAAGGUGGUGCCAAUUUCUAGUAUGACUGGGAUGAGAAACAAAGGAGAUUCUUGCAUGUCGUGCCUUCAGUAAAAACAGACUACUUAUUAACUAGAUUUUACAGCCCAUUCCAUCCCCCACAUUUUUAAGGGUAUGGCCUGAAUGGCCCCAGGAGGGUUGGUCAGAGUUCAUCCCAGGAACAAAGCUCUGUGACGGCAGCAGGAGAGGGCAUGGGUACCUCAUCCUGCAGGCAUGCAAGGGCUUCCAGCUACCACGUCCGUGCCUGGUGGGAGUCUCAGCAGGGUUGCAAUCAAAGCUCAGCCAUGGAGGUGUUUGUAAUUGAUGACUACACAGCUACCUAGCCCGCAACAGGGACAGAGCCCAGAAAUUUCUGCAGAUGCUUACCAGAAGUAAGAUGUCCUCCUCUGAUCCCUGAGGAGUCUGAGGGCUGUCCUGGAGUGCUGAUGAAAGCCCAGGGAUCCUGAAGAAGAGCACGCAGACACAAGGCUACAGGGUCUUUGCAUUCUUGUCUUUAAAGCCCCAUCACAGCCUUUGCAAGGGAAGAAACCCUCACGCCUGGAGGGGAUUUGGUUCUCUCCAUCUGAUGUCCUGCAGAGGAACGUAUUCAUUGACAUUUUCAACUGCUACUUUUCCUGGAAAUAAGCCUUUCCUCUCUAGUGACAAGUUGCACAUUUUGCAGUAAUUGGAAAAAGGAGAGCACCAGAUAAGGGUAUCCUGUCCGCCUUGAAAUAACUCUCCUACUUCCUCUUCCAAGAAGAUAAGAAACAUCUGCACGUGCAGACGUUAUUGCACAAAAGCCACCUCUCUUCAAGGAAAAGUCUAAUUGAAAAUUCAAAAAAGAAUAACCCUCACUGGUGCCGCCUCACCUUGCCAUUUAGGUGCAUUACAACCUGAGCAACGAGGGGGUGCCGUCGAGCUGUCCAAAUUGCAUGCAAGCUUUGGCUCUUACCCAGAAACUACUCUCAUAGUUGCCCUUUAGCUCAGCUCCAAAAACAUCCAUCACAGCCACCCUGGGUGCUCACCUCACCACAUCGCUUGGUUUUUGCAAGCUGGCCUUUGGGGUACGGGUAACACUUUCUGCUGUGACUAUGUGCUACAAACCUCUCUGAGCAGGAGAGCUGAGGACAUCUGAGCUGAAUCCUGCGAGACAACCAGAUGGGCCAUGCUGUCAUCCUGUGGGUUUUGUGUGGGCUUUCUCCCACUCGCAUCCUUGGACUUCAAGUUCCUCUGCCCACCCUGACUAGCAGUAGCAGCAGCUUCUGUCACAACAAUUUUUUUUUUCUUUCACUGUAACAAUUAGUUAAAGAAAACAAAGUGAAGCAUUCAAUAUGAACCAUCUAUUACAAAGAGAGAGUUACUGAAUCUCUGAGAGCAGAUAUUAAAUCAAGACCAGUUUCCCCCUGCAGCAAUUAUUUGUAGCUAACUGCCUCCCUCUCUAUGGAAAGCCUCCAAGGCAAAACGCACUGUGACACCCAAGCUGGUUUGGUUUGGGAUUUCUUUGCUCUGAAAAUAGAGAGGACGGGAGCGGACUUGUUCCAGCACCACCAGAGGAGAGCCAGGCUCCAGGGGUGAUGCACAUCCUCAGGCAACUGCAGCACAGGGACAAGUGGAGCGAUGCGCUUCAUGCCCAGCCCUGCAGCCCCUGACCCUUCUGGGGACCCCCAGGAGGGACCUCCUUUCCCACCAGCUGAUCCAAGGGCUGCUUGCAGCUAUCUCAUGCCCCAGGCAGAGCUCGGGAGACACAGGAGCCACACCCUUCACCAGCCCAGCUCCCUGCCGCACCCAAUACAGAGUGGCAUUUUUCAAAUUGCCCCAGUAUCUUAAUAAAAGCAUCCAAACGCUUUUUCUCAAGUGGAAACUCCACAGAGCAACAGGCUGAACUCUCAUUUUCAAAGGUGCAAGGAGGGAAUUUUGAUCUGUAGGGGUUAGGUGCAGAAAUGUUAGUGCCCACAUCCAAUUAAACAGGUGAAGGCAUCAUAAUUUGCAAUUAUACCCCUUCACCAUCCUCCUUUUCUUUAGCUAACUAUAUCUCCAUUGUGUGCUUUUGCACUUUCUGUUGCUGAAUUUAGGCAAUAGACUCCUCCAAUCAUGUGACAAGUUCCUGAUCUUUAUCAGCAAAAUAACUACUCCAUCUUAUAUCUUUUGCAUUGUGGUUACUGAGAACCAAAACUAAGUCCAUCUUUUUCCAUUUGUCUGAAAACACACCCUACAAAUAAGUCACAGAAAAAAAACACCAUGAUGACAAUAGGUAGAAAAAAGUGGUAAGUUGUGAGAGCAGUUUUGAAAACAAAUAAUGCUCUUAAAUAAAUGGAAAUGAAUGCACAUUUGUUCUCAUGCAAACAAUUAUUUUUGUUGUUUUUUCUUUUAGUACAUCUUUUUUCAGGUGUGCACAAAGGAAGUGGGAAUGAUGCUACAACUACACAAAACAAUAGGAGGUUGCAAUUUUCUAAACAAACAAAUAAACAAAAAAGAAACAACACAUUCUUGGAGUUAUCGGAGGAUCUGAAUAAUAAUUCAGAAAAAUCUGUCUAGAAAACAUGAACUAGGAGAAAAGUUGAACGAAUUGGGUAUUCAUAACUUAGAAAAGAGAAUGAGAAAUAGAAGCCAGAAUAUACUUUCAAUAUGUAAAAGGCUACUUUGAAACAGAUUUAGGAUCAGCUGUUGGCCAUCCUCAUCAAGAACAGAUAAGAAAUAGCUUGAUUUUUUCAGUAAGGAAACCUUUGUAUAGAUGUCAGGGAAACCUUUCUAAGUAUAAGGACUUCUAAGACUGAGUUACUUUAGGAAGGUUACACAUACAGACCAAUUAGCAAAAAAGGCAACGUGGAAAGGAAAUGAUGUAUUGUACCUUACAAUGGUCCUAAAAGUCUCCAGUAACUCACUAUGCCAAAAUGAAACAAAAAACGGUUGUUGCAAGUGUCAGCAAUUUGGAUCCAUUUUUACAGGAAACAGGCAAAAGCAAUCAUUUCAAAGUAAAUAAUGCACGGCUUAGGACUAACGGCUUUGAAACUUUUUAAUACCCUAUUUGCUUUAAAAUAGGUCUUUCACAUUUAGACUGUGUUUAGGGAAAAGUCAUAGCACAAACUUUCCAUACACUUCUUGCAGAAGUGUUUGGAAAAAAACAUCCACUAGCUGACAGUACAGUUCUGCACUUACUUUGUCUAAUGAAAACUGAUCUUCGUGACACAGUUUUCUGUAUGAAAUAAAAAUACAGACUACUUUGCUACAGUUUAGCUAAAAAAAAUAACCUACCAUUAGUAGGUAGUGUGACACUUGCUCUUUUCUUUCCAGAGUCUAGACAAAGGUGAUGACUUUGUGACUACUGUUUCCAAACCCUUUCAGUAAUAAAACCUGGGGUUUAAAAUAUUACAAUAUUUGACUAUCCAAAGACAAGGUUCUGAAAGGGACUUUUAAUAAACAUAACUUUAUUACAGGAGGCAACAGUCAGUAAUACAAACAGGCUAUGAUCUCUGUCCCAAUAGGGCAAGUUUGCCUCAAACUUGCCAGGGGCAGGGGGAAAAAGGAAAAACCAACAAUAGAUGAAUGCUGGCCUGUAUCUCAUUGAUGCUAAAAUCCCCCCUGUGUUCAGUGAUGCCAAGACUUUGUCUAGGGAAACUAUUACAAUUUUACGCUAUCAUAACUAGUUCAAAAAUCAGGCUGUUUACUGAUGAAUGCCACCUGCUCCUGCCUGGCAAAGCAUGUUCGAACAAUUACACAGGGCAUAUUACCAUAAUGAACAGGGCUUUUCAUUUACAAAUCCAGAAGUGCUGUGCUGAAGUGCUAUCCAAUCCAGAGCAGCGGGGAAGAUAGGAAAGCCAGGGAGAAGAGAGACAGACAUAUGGAAAACCAAGUCCCUCUGGACAAAAGAAUGGCCAGGGUAAGGACGGGACUCAGGUACCCCAAACAAUAUUGCUGCAACUCUUCUUUAAGGCUGCACACUUAAUUCAGCAGUUACAUUUCACCUUGUGGAUUGUCUGGCCACAAAUAUGCAGAAAAGCAGCAGCUGGUACAGCAACAUACAUGGUUUAUUUCAUCACGUCUUGAAAGAACCCAGAAAGGGCCAUGGGGGGUCAGGUUCAUAGGGACAUUUAGGAAAAUGCUGCAUUGACCUUCAGCAGAGGCAAAACACGAUUUGGGGAGGAAUUACAGAAAUACUGUGAUCAUUAAGCAAUCUAUCACAAAAUGUGGCCUCUCUUUUCUUUUCUUUUUUCUUUUCCUUUUCUUUUCAAACAAAAAAUAUGUGAACCAAAGUUUCCUUAGAAAGAAAAAAGCUUCAGUCGUGUGAUCUGUGUUACUCAGGAAAUCAAGCUAGAUGAUCACAGUUAUCACUUCUAGCCCAGAAAUAUAUAUAUACAUAUAUUAAUAAUUAAAAGAGAGAGAAAAAAAAAUCUCACGCCAACUUCAUUCUCUGUGGUUUUCCCCAUGAAGUCCACAGAACCCACUCCUCAUCUCCUUGAUUUUACAAUAAAUCUUCAUCUACUGAUUCUACAAAAGCCUUGGAAAUCACAUAUCUUUUCACUUCCAACUUCUGUGAAUAAUCAAAACUUUGUUCAACACUACAGCUUUUAUUCCAAUGCACAUAAAUAGCUUCUUGACUUGCACAAAACCUGAAACCACUUUAAUCAAUUCGCUAUAUAUAGUCUGGAUAAAUACUGAUUUUGAGAUUCUGGGUAUACGGCCAAUCCUAUGCUAUUUGCUAAUACUUUGAUCUAAAUUCACACUAUUUUAAGAAGAAAUGAAAAAUAUUCUGAGGAGAACAAAGACAACAGUAAAGAAAUUACAGCCUGUGAAAGCUAGAGGAUAUGCACAUAAGUUAAAAAGUCAACUUGUUCCAAAAGUAUUUCAGAAGACAGAAAUACAUUUAAACUUAUCAAAAUCUAAAAUGCAAAUAUCUGUAAUUUUUUCCUCAUUACUCCUACAGGAAUUCACUUUUGGUUUUACAGAAAUUUUUCACUAUGUUAACUAUAUUUAAUAACAUGAGUAGACAGUACUACAGUCUAAUUGUAUGUGCAUGUGUGUAAUGUACUACUCCAUUUUCAAUGGCAGCAUUAUAGUGUAGGUGAUUUAUGUAUGUGCAACAGAAAUGGCUAUUCUGUAGAAAUAUCACAGGAAAUGACACACAGGAAAUAAAACAACACAGACAUCUUACAAUCAUUUCCUAAACUUCUAGUGCAGCAAUCUGCUGAGCUCCUGAAAGAACCCAGAUGCUGCUGACACAGGGAAUGAGCAAACACCAAAAACACAUCCUUCUCUCAACAUGGUUUCUUGGUCUUGAGAGGAAAGAAGGAUGAACAAGACUAUAAGCUAUGAAAUACUUGGUUAUUUGCCACCUGAAAAUAUUUUUUGUUAGGUAUUAACCAUUUACUACUGUCAUGGUUCACCUACAGUGGCUACGGAUGGAUGGGGGGGACCCGCAGCGGCUGUGAAAACAAGAAAGCUGAAGAUUAAUGUGUGGUAAAUGCUCAAGUAAUGGCUGGGGAAAAGAAAGGCACGUGGAAAAAAAAAAAAAAAAAUCACAGUAAUCCUCAUGCCAGAUCUUUCUCAUCUUCUCCUUUGUCUACCUGCCCCGUUCGGAUGUGCUCCUCCUGCUGUGGCACUUGCUGGUGCCCCCCAAGCCCUUGCUGUGACAGGUACACAGAUAAAAAUUCAGUUCCUGCCCUGAAAAGCACGUAAUUCAGGGUACAGCAAGGUACCAUCAGAGGCAACAAAAUAGUCAUGUUUCAGUCAGAUUUGCCAGCAUGCAACAGAAAACUAUGUUCUGGAAGCCAGAUGAGCUCAAUAACUUUUUAGCAGGGAUUUUUAUUAGGAAAUGCUAGAACAUAGCUCAGGAGGGUUCAGCUGAAUGCACAGCAGAAUACUGCAUUUUAUCUAAGCAAAUUUUGCCAGUUAAAAAUAGUCAGAAAAUGAAGGAAAGUAUCAGCCUACUUUUAUUAUUGCUCAAUAUUCUGCUAUUCAUUUACAGCCCUUUAUUGGAAAUUAUAAAAUAAGUCAAAUAUAAUAAAUAUAGAAAAUAUUUACAAAAUAUACAAAAAACAGAUUUGACAUUAGUGUUCUAGUUUAAGAAUCAAUAUGAGGUAUUUUUAUGCUAUUAUUUCCUGG